UGUAUUUCUCUCUAUUUCUCUGUAUGUGUGUUGAACUGCAGACUUGUUACUCCAGCUGGUUUCUCUCCAGAAGGCGUCAGGCUGCUGGGAGCUGGACGCCACGCUGGCUGAUGUGUUUGGAAAGACGGAGGAUGAGCUGACCAAUCAGAAACCAGCACAGGUGGAUGGGUCAGUAUGGGCCACUCUCCUGGCUCUGAUCUGGUUAUACGGCUGUAAAAUAGAGCAGCAGGUCGAGUGGCAGUUUGUGGCCAUGAAGGCAGCGUCAUGGAUCGGCUCUCAGAAAGUGGGCGAUCUGUCUCAGUGUGUGUGUGUGGGUAAUGUCCUGCUCGGAUGUCAGGUGACCAAAGAGACUCUGGGAAUCUGAAGACGUCUGCAGGGUUGCCAACUCUCACGCAUCUGGCGUGACACUCACGCUUUCAGCAUCAAUCUCACGCUCUCACGCACACGCAAGAAAUGUCACGCCAAAAUCCAUUUUUCUCCCCUCUCAAUCCGUUACUUUCUGUUGAUGACUAGACCACAGCGUAUUAAUGACAGGAGAGGAGUUUAAGGCCCACAUCUGUUACAUCUCCCUACAACGUUCUCACUGCAGUAUUCUCUGAUCGUUGAUUGGCUGAAAACCUUGCACCUGAUACGUCAGUUGCGUGUGAGAAGUACAGAGAGAGUUCGGAGUCGGCACGUGUGAAAGUUUGGAAGACAAUCAAGGUAAAGCCAAGUUCAGACUG